rnacentral:rRNA from 1 species
UGGGGAAUUUUGGACAAUGGGCGAAAGCCUGAUCCAGCAAUGCCGCGUGUGUGAAGAAGGCCUUCGGGUUGUAAAGCACUUUUGUCCGGAAAGAAAUCCUUGGCUCUAAUACAGUCGGGGGAUGACGGUACCGGAAGAAUAAGCACCGGCUAACUACGUGCCAGCAGCCGCGGUAAUACGUAGGGUGCAAGCGUUAAUCGGAAUUACUAGGCGUAAAGCGUGCGCAGGCGGUUUGCUAAGACCGAUGUGAAAUCCCCGGGCUCAACCUGGGAACUGCAUUGGUGACUGGCAGGCUAGAGUAUGGCAGAGGGGGGUAGAAUUCCACGUGUAGCAGUGAAAUGCGUAGAGAUGUGGAGGAAUACCGAUGGCGAAGGCAGCCCCCUGGGCCAAUACUGACGCUCAUGCACGAAAGCGUGGGGAGCAAACAGGAUUAGAUACCCUGGUAGUCCACGCCCUAAAACGAUGUCAACUAGUUGUUGGGGAUUCAUUUCCUUAGUAACGUAGCUAACGCGUGAAGUUGACCGCCUGGGGAGUACGGUCGCAAGAUUAAAACUCAAAGGAAUUGACGGGGUCAUAGCUG